CGAGUUACGAUCAAUCGGCAAAAUUUCAUGACAACAUUCAUGUCAAAGACAUAAUGUUUAUGGCACUGAAUUUUUACAUAAGGCACAAGCUUACCCAAGGAGGUUUGGAAGACUUUAUGAAAAUGUUGAAUGUUUUCACGAUAGGCAAAACUUUUCCCGAAAGCUUUAUCACUUUUACUAAUGCUUUCCCAGCUCCGAAAGGGUUUAUUUUUGUGUGAAUUGUCAUGAUGGGUAUGUCGUCUUCUUGUUCAAUAAUGACAGCACACUAACAACCUAUUUUAUUUUAAGAUAUGAAGCUACUUCACAACCUGAACCUCUAUGCCCUGUGGAAAACUAGCAGCAAAUUAGAUAAUCUUUUUUGAAAUACUCCAAAGAAAUAGCUGAAUACGAGACACCGGUUAUUACUGAAGAAAUUCGCGAUGUAAGCCGUUUAUGAUUUAAA